rnacentral:piRNA from 1 species
UAUUCGACCUCUACAGGUCUGGCAAA